rnacentral:rRNA from 1 species
AAAAGCUCGUAGUUGGAUCUCGGCGGUCUGAGGGCGGUUCGCUUGAUUGAGUGCUACUGCUCUAUAGGCCGUGGUUUUGCCAGAGGUCUCGGGGUGCUCUUAACCGAGUGUCCUGCGAUGCUGGCAGGUUUACUUUGAAAAAAUUAGAGUGCUCAAAGCAGGCUUUUACGCCUGAAUAUUCGUGCAUGGAAUAAUAGAAUAGGAAGUCGUUUCUAUUUUGCUGGUUUUCGGAAAUCGACUUAAUGAUUAAUAAGGACAGUCGGGGGCAUUUGUAUUCAAACGACAGAGGUGAAAUUCUUGGACCGUUUGAAGACAAACUACUGCGAAAGCAUUUGCCAAGAAUGUUUUCAUUAAUCAAGAACGAAAGUUAGAGGUUCGAAGGCGAUUAGAUACCGCCCUAGUUCUAACCAUAAACGAUGCCAGCAAGCGAUCUGCCGACGUUUUCUUUGUAGACUCGGCAGGAAGCUUCCGGGAA